rnacentral:rRNA from 1 species
UACGUAGGCAGCAAGCGUUGUUCGGAGUUACUGGGCGUAAAGAGUGCGUAGGCGGUUUCGCAAGUUUGGUGUGAAAUCUCCCGGCUUAACUGGGAGGGUGCGUCGAAAACUGCGGGGCUGGAGUAUGGGAGAGGCAGGCGGAAUUCCUGGUGUAGCGGUGAAAUGCGUAGAUAUCAGGAGGAACACCGGUGGUGUAGACGGCUUGCUGGACCAUGACUGACGCUGAGGCACGAAAGCGUGGGGAGCAAACAGG